GUCUAUGGCCAUACCAUCCUGAAUGCACCCGCUCUCGUCUGAUGUCGGAAGCUAAGCAGGGCCAGGCCUGGUUAGUACUUGGAUGAGAGAAGGCACACCAGUACUUUCAGUG
rnacentral:rRNA from 1 species